AUUGCCUUCACAUAUCGAAAGACCAGAACGUCCCACUCUCAUUUUUCUGUUAGCUUUAUACACAAAAACAAAAACAAAAACAAAGCUGAAAAAGAGUUUCUAAGUGUAAAUCAUCAAGAGAAAAAGAGCAGCAUGGCCUCCACCGCAUGCUUCUUGCACCACCGUGCACUCACCACCGCAACCAGAUCAUCAUCACCAUCACCAUCACCAUCACAGCGCCAAGUUGCAAACAUCAAGC
rnacentral:lncRNA from 1 species